rnacentral:lncRNA from 1 species
AUAAGAAUCACAUUUCACAACUAACAAUCUCCCUAAAUACUUUCAUAAAUCAGGUGGUAAUUCAAAUUAAUAAAAAUAUAAUUAUAAGAUAAGUGACACUAAUUCUCUAUCCACACAAAUUCCACCAGAGCUCUACACAAAUUCGUUCUCUAUAAAAAUAUCCUAUCCACCAUACCUUCCCUUAAUCUGGUUGAUCUCUCUUUAUACAGCUCCUUCAAUCAAUCAUAUUCAUUUCCAUCUCCCCCUUUCUCUUAGAUUCUUUAAAAUGAAUUAGGGAAUCUGAUUGUUGUUUUUGUUGGCAUUAAGAAUCUCCUACUGUAGUGAGUUGAAUGACGGAGCUCUCGUCGAUAAAAAGGUGGUUGGGAUUGGGUGAAGAUGAAAAGAAGAAUAACACGGCGCUAUUCGAUGGCGAUGGCAGCGAGGAUGGGUGGUAGAAUUUGUAUUCGGAGGCUCAUUACUUCAAAUGGUCACCACCGACUUAAGAGAAAUUUCCAAAAAGUUGGAGUGAUUUCUUGUUUCUCAAUUUCUAUAAUUUUCUAGAAUUUACAUCAACCUUCAUCUCAUUUUUUGCCGACAUACAAUAAGGAACCAAAAUUAUCUAGACUUUCUGCUUUCCACUGCCAUAGCUAAAGAAUCUGAAGAAGUGGAAAAGAUGCUAUUUUUGGAAUAAAAAGCUAUUUUCGGAGAAAUCUAUCCUGCGCUUGCGAUGAGGGUAUUGUUUCGCCUGGGCUAUGAACAAGAUGUUUUGUCUCAGGAUUGUGGUUUUAGUGAUGAGGUUGAUAGAAAAGUAUUUUGGGGGCUUGCAUUAAUGGUCAAUUUUUGGGAGCAAGACAGAAUCAAAAGAAUUUUAAAUACAAUAUCUCCCAAGUCCUCUACUUUAGAUUAAAACAAUGUUCUUGGCUUUCAAUUGGUGCAAAAAUUUUGGUGUUCCUUUAAUAAAACUAUCUUAUUUACAAUAUUGUUCGUAGCUUUUGCUAAAUGUUAAUGUUGUUUGUUGAUUCUUUUUCCUUUUGAUCUUUGUCAGACGUAUUUUCUCUUUCUCCAUGGGCUAAACCUUGGAAUUUUCGACAAUAUUGACAUGUAUUGUUG